GACGAACGCUGGCGGCGCGCCUAACACAUGCAAGUCGAACGAGCGAGAGAGAGCUUGCUUUCUCGAGCGAGUGGCGAACGGGUGAGUAACGCGUGAGGAACCUGCCUCAAAGAGGGGGACAACAGUUGGAAACGACUGCUAAUACCGCAUAAGCCCACGGGUCGGCAUCGACCAGAGGGAAAAGGAGCCAUCCGCUUUGAGAUGGACUCGCGUCCGAUUAGCUAGUUGGUGAGGUAAUGGCCCACCAAGGCGACGAUCGGUAGCCGGACUGAGAGGUUGAGCGGCCACAUUGGGACUGAGACACGGCACAGACUCCUACGGGAAGCAGCAGUGGGGAAUAUUGCACAAUGGGGGAAACCCUGAUGCAGCGACGCCGCGUGGAGGAAGAAGGUAUUCGGAUUGUAAACUCCUGUUGUUGGGGAAGAUAAUGACGGUACCCAACAAGGAAGUGACGGCUAACUACGUG
rnacentral:rRNA from 1 species